rnacentral:misc_RNA from 1 species
AGACCCAUCAAGCCUGGCUUGGUAUUGGGCGUCGGGCGAAUCGCCCGCGCCUCUAUUCUCUCGGCUGGACGGUAAGAAUCUCAGCGUUGUGCAAUCAAUCCGCUAGAGAGGACCGCCGGACGCGCCGUUAAACCCAUCAAA